GAUGAACGCUGGCGGCGCGCCUAACACAUGCAAGUCGAACGAUUAAAGCACCUUCGGGUGUGUAUAAAGUGGCGAACGGCUGAGUAACACGUGGGCAACCUGCCCCUUUCAUUGGGAUAGCCACGGGAAACCGUGGAUAAUACCGAAUACUUCGAGACUUCCGCAUGGAAGACUCGAGAAAGCUCCGGCGGCGGGGGAUGGGCCCGCGGCCUGUUAGCUUGUUGGUGGGGUAACGGCCUACCAAGGCAAUGAUGGGUAGCUGGGUUGAGAGACCGACCAGCCAGAUUGGGACUGAGACACGGCCCAGACUCCUACGGGAGGCAGCAGUGGGGAAUCUUGCACAAUGGGCGAAAGCCUGAUGCAGCGACGCCGCGUGCGGGAUGAAGGCCUUCGGGUUGUAAACCGCUUUCAGCAGGGACGAGGCGAAAGUGACGGUACCUGCAGAAGAAGCCCCGGCUAACUACGUG
rnacentral:rRNA from 1 species